GGUCAAGCUACAAAGAGCUUUUGGUGGAUGACUUGGCUCAAGAAGGCGAUGAAGGACGUAGUAAGCUGCGAUAAGCCCCGGUGAGCCGCAAACAGGCUUUGACCCGGGGAUUUCCGAAUGGGGCAACCCACUGCGAGUAAUAUUGCAGGACUCCGCACUGUAAUGGUGCGGAGGGCGAUACCAGGAGAAUUGAACCAUCUUAGUAACCUGAGGAAGAGAAACAAAUUUUGUAUUCCCUAAGUAGCGGCGAGCGAAAGGGGAAGAGCCUAAACCUUAUCUGCGUGAUAGCCUGUAUGCGUUGCAGAUAGGGUGUAGCGGGAUCCGGUCGGGUCGCCAUACAGGGUGACCGACUUGUCAAAAAGUCGUUUUAUAACCGAAUAAUCUGGAAAGAUUAACCAUAGCAGGUGAUAGUCCUUUAGGUGAAAUAAAACGGCCAGGUUGGAUCGGAUUUCCAAGUAAUAUGGGACACGUGAAACCCCAUAUGAAUCUGGGACGACCACGUCCUAAGGCUAAAUACUAUCUUGAGACCGAUAGUGCACAAGUAAUGUGAAUGAAAGUUGAAAAGAACGCCUGUAAGGCGAGUGAAAUAGUACCUGAAACCAUUAGCUUACACGCGGUCGGAGGCCUAUGUCCCCCGCAAGGGGGAAACGGCUGACGGCGUGCCUUUUGCAUAAUGAACCGGCGAGUUACUCAGCGUAGCAAGGUUAAUCCCUUAAGGGGGAGAAGCCGUAGCGAAAGCGAGUCCGAAUGGGGCGACAUAGUUGCGUUGAGUAGACCCGAAUGCCAAGUGAUCUACCCAUGGUCAGGGUGAAACUCGUGUAAAAACGAGUGGAGGCCUGAACCCGUUAACGUUGAAAAGUUAUGGGAUGAACUGUGGGUUGGAGUGAAAGGCUAAUCAAACUUGGCUAUUGCUGGUUCUCCCCGAAAUAGCUUUAGGGCUAGCCUCGAAUAAUAUAGACAAUAGAGGUAGAGUACUAAAUGGGCUAAGGAGCCUACCAGCUUUCUGAACCCAAUUAAACUCCGAAUACUAUUGUCCUUAACUCGGGAGUCAGACAGUGGGGGAUAAGCUUCACUGUCAAAAGGGAAACAGCCCAGACCACCAGCUAAGGUCCCAAAAUAUAAACUAAGUGGCAAAGGAUGUGAAACUGCGUAGACAACCAGGAUGUUGGCUCAGAGGCAGCCAUCAUUUAAAGAGUGCGUAACAGCUCACUGGUCGAUUGUGGUUUUGCGCCGAUAAUGAGCGGGGCUCAAGUUUAUUACCGAAGCUGUGGACUUGAUCCCGCCUACGGGCGGGAUGAAUUGGUAGGGGAGCGUUCUAUUCUAGGUUGAAGGGGUACCGAGAGGAGCCCUGGACGAAAUAGAAGUGAUUAUGCCGGUAUGAGUAGCGAAAAUCCCGAUGAGAAAACGGGACGCCGAAAAUCUAAGGUUUCCUGGGGAAGGUUAAUCCACCCAGGGUUAGUCGAUCCUAAGCCGAGGCCGAAAGGCGUAGGUGAUGGACAAUCCGUUAAUAUUCGGAUACCGCCUGUUUGGUGUUUGAGUUUUAAAGUGACGCAGAAGGUUAAGCUAUCGCGCUGUAAGGAUGUGCGCGUCUAAGCCUGUACCUCUACGGAGCGAUCCGCAGAGCGAGAGGUGAUGGGGAGCCUGAUCCACGGAGAGGGUAAACUAGCCUAUACCACGCUGCCUAGAAAAGCCUUUAAAAUGAAUCAAACGGGCGAUCGUACCGCAAACCGACACAGGUAGAUAGGGAUAAUAUCCUAAGGCGCUCGAUUUAACCCUUGUUAAGGAACUAGGCAAAAUAGCCCCGUAACUUCGGAAGAAGGGGUGCUCCGAAGGGUCAGUGUCCUGCGACACAAAGCCCAUCGGAGUUACAAUAAAGUGGCUCCUGUGACUGUUUAGCAAAAACACAUGUCUCUGCUAACUCGCUGAGAGGAAGUAUAGGGACUGACACCUGCCCGGUGCUGGAAGGUUAAGGGGAAUUGUCAUCCCCGUAAGGGGAGAAGCUCUGAACCGAAGCCCCAGUAAACGGCGGCCGUAACUAUAACGGUCCUAAGGUGACUUCGUUGCCUUAGUAAAAUCUAGCCAUAUGCUGGAAAACCUGAGUAUACCUUCCUACCUCUUCAUGUGAAAAUCUUAUUUAUUUUAAAAAAUAAUGAAAGAUUUUCUCAACUUAUACGUAUAUAUAAGUGAGGGGGUGAAAAUGGAAUGGUUGCAGACAAUCAGCAGGAAAGGCUAAUUAAAUUAGGUUGGGUGGUUGGUUUUGUAGAUGGAGAGGGUUGUUUUAGUAUUGGUUUCGUAAAACAGCCUAAUCAUAAUAAACGAAAAGGCUACAAAACAGGUUAUCAAGUAAGCCACGAGUUCGCAGUAACACAGGGUGUGAAAAGUAUAAAAAGUCUGUAUAUACUUGCUGACUUUUUUAGGGUUGGACAAGUGAUAGUUAAUAAUCGACAUGACAACCAUAAAGAGCAUUUAUAUCGUUAUGUUGUUAGAAAACGGGAGGAUUUAGUAAAUGUGAUAAUCCCGUUUUUUAGAAGACAUAAGAUGCGGUCAGCAAAAUGCAUGGAUUUUGAGAAAUUUGCACAAUGUGUAGAAUUAAUGGAGAAGAAGAUCCAUUUGUCUCGUGACGGUUUGAUAAAGAUAGCGAAAAUUACUCAAACCAUGAAUAGAAGAAAGUCCCGCCGUAAUUUAAUUAGAAUCCUCAGAGACCGUACGCUAGAUUCGCCAUAAGACUUUGGCGAAAAGAUAUGGUCCCAUCUGCAUGGCGACAUGCAGGAGCGAAAAAAUCGCUCGCUCAAUUUAAAGUUGAGUAAGAUUAUAAGCGAAAUUCCUUGUCGGGUAAGUUCCGACCCGCACGAAUGGUGUAACAAAAGGAGCGCUGUCUCAACAGGGGAAUCGGUGAAAUUGUAGCAGCGGUGAAGAUGCCGCGAACCCGUGGCUAGACGAAAAGACCCCGGAACCUUUACUGUACUCUGGUACUGGACUUUGGUUCGAUAUGUGUAGGAUAGGUGGGAGGCUUUGAAGCUCGAGCGUUAGCUUGAGUGGAGCCAACGGUGAAAUACCACCCUUAUUUAACUAGGGUUCUAACCCGCAGCCGUGAAUCCGGCUGGGGGACAAUGCCAGACGGGCAGUUUGACUGGGGCGGUUACCUCAAUUAUGGGGUCUAUGAUAGGAAACUAUCAUAAGCAAAUUCAGCUAUAUGCUGGAAUAUCUGAGUAUCCUCGCAUACUUAUAAGAAAGUGAAAAUUGUGAGGUGCAGACAAUCAGCAGGGAAGCUCCGAAAGUUCGGAGCCCCUCAACGACUAUACGCUGAAUCCCGAAAAUCGGGAAUGAUAUAGUCUGAACUUCCGGGCGACCGGAAGCCCUUUUAGAAGGGAGUCUAGCCUCCUAAGGAAUUAGGAGGCAAACAAUGCGAUCGAAGAAAAUCGAAAAUUAUAAAACACAACUAAGAUUGAAUGCUGAGCAAAAAGAAGUUCUUAUGGGCAUUCUAUUAGGAGACGCAACGUUAGAAACGCAAAACGGCGGCAGAACUUAUAGAAUGAAAAUAGAACACAGCAUUAGUCAAAAGAUCUACCUCGAGCAUUUGUAUUGCGUAUUCAAAGAAUGGGUAUUAACUCCGCCAAGACUUAAAGCUGUAACACUAUCUAAUGGAAAGAUCUAUACGAAUGUCGUUUUUUCAACAUUGAGCCAUUCGAGUUUUAGAUUCUAUGCUCAUCAAUUCUACGAUGACAAACAUAAGGUAGUACCGCGGCUUAUAAAUCGAUGGCUGACGCCAAAAGCCGUUGCUUAUUGGUUUAUGGAUGACGGUUCGAUAAAGUCAAAACAGUCUAAGGGCGUAAUUUUUAAUACUCAGGGGUACACAAUACAAGAUGUAUUGCGGCUAGUAAGAGUUUUAAAGGAAAAAUUUCGAUUAGAAUCAAAGGCACGAAAGCAAAAAGAAGGGUAUCAAAUAUACGUCUCCGGUAGAAGCUAUGAACAAUUCAAAAAUAUCGUUUCUCCGUAUAUACUGCCAGAAAUGAGAUAUAAGAUACCAGAGGCUAGACGAACAUAUUUGCCUAAAUUGUAACGGAGGUGUUCAAAGGUUUCCUCAGUGCGGUCGGCAAUCGCACGUAGAGCGUAAAGGUAUAAGGAAGCUUAACUGCGAGACCUACAAGUCGAGCAGAUACGAAAGUAGGACUUAGUGAUCCGGCGGUAGAAUGUGGAAUCGCCGUCGCUCAACGGAUAAAAGGUACUCCGGGGAUAACAGGCUUAUCUUCUCCAAGAGUUCAUAUCGACGAGAAGGUUUGGCACCUCGAUGUCGGCUCAUCACAUCCUGGGGCUGAAGAAGGUCCCAAGGGUCCGGCUGUUCGCCGGUUAAAGUGGUACGUGAGCUGGGUUCAGAACGUCGCAAGACAGUAAGUAAAAUGACCGUUUGCUGUCUUUAAAAUUGGCUAUAUGCUGGAAAAUCCCGUGUAUCUGAAGGUACUAAUUUAAUAAAUUCGAAAUCCGAAUAUCGAAUUUCGGAUUUUGUACUUCGAGUUUAAAUUAGUAAAAAUUCUUCAGUGGGGACAAUCAGCAGGGAAGUCGUAAUUGACCCCUCAGAGACUAUACGCCAGUCAUCUGAAAAAGAUGAAGAUAUAGUCCGAGCUGCGUAGCGAUACGCAGAGAUUGGCAGAAAUGUCCAAUCCUCCCGCUAGCAGCGGGAAGUAACAAAACUGUCGGUCUCUAUCUGCCAUGGGCGCAGGAAAUCUGCGAGGAUACUUCCUCAGUACGAGAGGACCAGGAAGUACGUGCCACUGGUGCUCCAGUUAUCGCGCCAGCGGUAAAAGCUGGGUAGCUAUGCACGGAAAGGAUAAGCGCUGAAGGCAUAUAAGCGCCAAGCCCCCCUCAAGACUAGAUUUCCCUCCCCGCAAGGGGACUAAGACACCUUGAAGACUACAAGGUUGAUAGGCCAGAUGUGUAAGACCCGCGAGGGUUUGAGCUUACUGGUACUAAUCUGUCGAAAGGCUUGACCAU
rnacentral:rRNA from 1 species